CCCACGCUCCGUCACCUGGUUUCCGUGCUCAACGUUUGACCGUCCGUCUUAUUUGAAAAAAUUAUGAAAAAAAAUUAAAAGACAAGUCACGCAUAAAAUAUUAAUCAUGUUUUAUCAUCUAACAACAAUAAAAAUACGAAUUAUAAAAAAAUUUCAUAUAAGACGGACAGUCAAAGUUGAACACGGAAACCCAGGGUUUGCCUUUUU
rnacentral:pre_miRNA from 1 species